AUGCGGCUGUUGAGCAUCUGCUUUGUGUGGGGAGCAUUUCUAACAGACAUGAGUCAUGCAGAUUCUGUCACUCAACCACUCUCCUCAGCCGUUCAGACAGAGGGAGAGGCGGUGAAUCUGAGCUGUACCUUUGAUACUACAUCGAGCAACUAUGUAUUAUUCUGGUAUCGACAACAGCCAGAUUCGCAGCCCGAAUUUAUCCUGAGAAUAUAUCCUUCUGGUUCUGAGGAUAAGGCAGAUUUUGCUAAUCGACGCUUUUUAGCAUUACUUCAGACAUCGACAAAAUCCAUGAGUUUGACUAUUUCGUGGCUGCAGCUGACUGAUGCUUCUGUAUACUUCUGCGUGCUCAGUGACACACAGUGA